rnacentral:misc_RNA from 1 species
GAUGAAGAACGUAGUGAAAUGCGAUACGUAGUGUGAAUUGCAGAAUUCAGUGAAUCAUCGAAUCUUUGAACGCACAUUGCACCUCUCGGUAUUCCGGGAGGUAUGCCUGUUCGAGCGUCAUUUGUACCCUCAAGCUCUGCUUGGUGUUGGGUGUUUGUUCCGCCUCUGUGUGUGAACUCGCCUCAAAACAAUUGGCAGCCGGCGUACUUGUUUCGGAGCGCAGCACAUUUUGCGAUCCAGAUCAACGUACAGCGGCAUCCAAGAAGCCUUAUUUAACGCUCUUGACCUCGGAUCAGGUAGGGAUACCCGCUGAACUUAAGCAUAUCGAUAAGCGGAGGA